rnacentral:rRNA from 1 species
UUCUAGAGCUAAUACAUGCAAACAGAGCUCCAACUCGGAAACGGAAGGAGCGCUUUUAUUAGAUCAAAACUCAUCGGUGGCGGUCUCCGUCAUCGUACAACUUGGUGACUCUGAAUAACUUUACGCUGAUCGCACGGUCUCGCACCGGCGACGCAUCUUUCAAAUGUCUGCCUUAUCAACUGUCGAUGGUAGGUUCUGCGCCUACCAUGGUUGUAACGGGUAACGGGGAAUCAGGGUUCGAUUCCGGAGAGGGAGCCUGAGAAACGGCUACCACAUCCAAGGAAGGCAGCAGGCGCGCAAAUUACCCACUCCCGGCACGGGGAGGUAGUGACGAAAAAUAACGAUACGGGACUCAUCCGAGGCCCCGUAAUCGGAAUGAGUACACUCUAAACCCUUUAACGAGGAUCAAUUGGAGGGCAAGUCUGGUGCCAGCAGCCGCGGUAAUUCCAGCUCCAAUAGCGUAUAUUAAAGUUGUUGCGGUUAAAAAGCUCGUAGUCGAAUCUGUGUCCCGCGCCGCCGGUUCAUCGUUCGCGGUGUUAACUGGCGUGCCGCGGGACGUCCUGCCGGUGGGCUUAGCCCGAGAGGGCGGCCCAACUCAAUCCCGCCGCGGUGCUCUUCAUUGAGUGUCGAGGUGGGCCGGCACGUUUACUUUGAACAAAUUAGAGUGCUAUAAAGCAGGCUAAAACUUCGCCUGAAUACUGUGUGCCUUCCUCCUGUUAAUCGUGAAUUGGACCUCGGUUCUA